rnacentral:lncRNA from 1 species
GCUGAGGCAGAGGCUGGAAGGAAAGAUCUGUAGGCAUCAGCAGAGCCACCGAAGAUGCUCCUGUCACCCAUGGGCAAGGCUUUGGGAGAAGGGACGAAAGUCCAUCUAGGGCCACUUCCUUUUAUCCCCUAGAGCAGCCAACCUAAAUGAGGGGACUGGAGGAGCAAACCUCGCUCAAGGAAAUCAGAGAUCAACUGGAAUCAAUCCUCGGGCUAUGGAAAGGAGUAACGCAAACAAAACACAGGUUGUGUGUAUGUUUGUGUAUGGGGGGGGCUGGUUGCCAUGACACAAAGGGCCACACCCACCAAGGCUGGGCUGAAACAGGGAUGAGGCUCUGAGACAGAAACUUGCGUAAACAGCCAAUCCUCUAGGAGAGGCCCCCCCCCCCCCACUGCAGUAGAACAACUGCCUAGUAAUGAGGAGACCCCCAGCUGAGGACACCAGCUUCUGAACAGUGGCUGAGCUGCUCUUUCUAGGCAUUAACUCCAGAAAUUGGAGAUGAGGAAACCAGAGCAAACUGGAGGUCAGCUUGGAGGUUGUGUCCAUCGCUGAACCAAUCAGUUGGGUAAGAGGAUUGUGUACCCGGAACGCCAGCCUGGAUGGUCUUAUUCAAUCCUCACAACAACUUUCUAAGUGAGCGAGGAAGGCUGUGUCAAUAUGGGGGUGCACCACGGGGUCUCCACAUGGAGAGCAGCUGCAGAGAGUCACCACACGUGCAACAAGGCUUUGUGUCAGAUCCCAUCCAGGCAGUACAACAUUACAUUUUGUCAUUGCAUCCCCUUAAGGACAUGACAGUUUCUCCGACUGUCCUUGCUUUUGAGCACCUUGACAGCUGUAAGGAGUGCUGGUCAGGGAAGGCUAAGGUGCGGUUUAUUGCCCAGGGAAGCGGAGGGCUGAUUCAGAGCAAGGCGUCAUGGAGGGAUGAAGCAGGACAUGAUGCAGAGAAGCUGCUGCCCACAGCAGUAGGACCAGAACGGUGGACUCAAGGAAGAGAGAAGGAGAACCAGAAAGGCAGCUCCGUCCUUCACGCUCGGAGGGCUUGGAGGGGAAGAAACUCCAGUGGGGUUUGAGGGUAGAUCUCCCUGUGAGGGGCUGAGUGGGGCUUGACUCUCAGAUUGCAGCUGUGGGAAAUUUAGUGAACUCCCUUAGCAAAGUGGCAAUUCAGGAUGGUGCCAACGCAACACGGCGCCGCCCAGGAGGUAGUUUGAUAUGGCUGAGGAAGCGGGUCUGGGAAGUGGCUUCACGGAACUCUGCCUCUUCUGGUGUGAGUGGGGAGAAUGCAGCUGGGUGGUCCUAGGUCCCAGGGGCUAUAGAAGCAAGAUCUGCACCAGCAGCCAUGUGUGGGGACCACACACUUCAGUAGCACCCCUCAUCCCCUACCCCAAGCAAGUCCCAGGGACCAGGCUGGACCCGCUCUGUCCCCAUCAGGGGUGCUGAAGAAUGCAGGGGGCUCACUCUUCCCUCAACCACAAGGGCAUGUGAAUAUCUCCCUGCCCCAGGAAAUUCUCUAGGAGAAGGAAGAGGGGUGAGAAAACCCUGGAAAACAGCGUUUUACUCAAAGGAGCCUGAGUUAAACAUACAGAAAUGGAGAUAUCUCUAAUGGACAAGUUAAAGGUUUCUUUUCAUUUUUUUCUUUUUCUUUUUCUUUUUUGCUUGUUAACAGUAGUAAUGGUCUCAUCAGAUCAAGAUAAGAACAGUACAAAAAAAUUAAAGAUGCUAGUUUUAUCCAUCUGAGCUGUAGGAUGUGACUUCCAACCCCAGCACACACAUGGCUGCACAAGUUUGCCUGGGCAGCUGUGUACUCUUGAUUCCUCUAGUCAGAUUUUUCUUUGAGACUCACUGUGUGUUUUGCUUUAGCCAGGAGUUGAGAAUCACAAAAUCAUCAAAUCUGUAUUAAUUAUCUAUUGCUGCAUAAUAAAUUACUCCAAAAACUUAGCAGCUGAAAACAGCAAUACGCAUGUAUUAUCUCACAC